rnacentral:sRNA from 1 species
CUCUGGGGAGAGAAAGGUGAUUGCUUAAGAGGUGAAGCCCCUUAGAGCAUUCAAAAUGAGGAGUGAUUUUGUACAGAGGACAUCAUGCAGCAGGCUGGAUGUCUAGUUCCAAUUCCUUUAUUUGUUACCUCUGGGACCUUGAAGAAGUAGUUUCUAGUCUCGGCAUACCAAAGCUUCAUCUGCAAGUGAGAGCAUUGGACUGAUGAUCUUCAAGGUCCUUCCUCCUCUAACAUUCACUGAAUCUGCUAUUUUUGACAUAUUGAAUAAUCAGAAGCAGCCAAUUUUAGUAUCUUAUUAUAGCAAAAGUGGUAAAAAUAAUGAGCAUAUACUAUCAAUGUGCAUCUAUGUCUUCUUAUGUUUGAGUGAGGAUCCCGAUAUAUAAACCUUGGCUGAUAAUUUCUACUGAAAAAAAUCGCCUGGACCAGUUUCGAGGCAACUACCUCCAUAGCCGGGAUUAUAAGAAUCCAGAUGCCUUCAUAGGGGAAGAGGGUCCUCGUGAUUGGUCUAGGGAAUUCGGGAUCUGACAUUGCUGUUGAGCUCAGCCAUCUGGCUACACAGGUCAUUUUCAGUACCAGAAGUGGUUCCUGGGUCAUGAGUCGGGUCUGGGAUGAUGGCUAUCCUUGGGAUAUGAUGUAUGUUACCCGCUUUGCAUCCUUUCUCCGGAAUGUCCUUCCUUCAUUCGUCUCUGACUGGUUAUAUGUCCAGAAGAUGAACACGUGGUUUAAGCAUGAGAGCUAUGGCCUGAUGCCUUUAAAUGGUUCCCUGAGAAAAGAGCCUGUGUUCAAUGAUGAGCUCCCAUCCCGCAUCGUGUGUGGCACUCCGUCCAUCAAGCCCAGUGUGAAGGAGUUCACGGAAACCUCAGCUGUGUUUGAGGAUGGGACCGUGUUUGAGGCUAUCGACUCCGUCAUCUUUGCAACAGGCUAUGAUUAUUCCUACCCCGCCUUGAUGAGACCAUCAUGAAAAGCAGAAACAAUGAGGUUACCUUGUUUAAAGGCAUCUUCCCCCCACUAAGGGAGAAGCCAACCUUGGCUGUGAUUGGCUUGGUUCAGUCCCUUGGAGCUGCCAUCCCCAUAGCAGACCUGCAAGCCCGGUGGGCUGCUAAAGUAUUUGCAAACUCAUGUACCCUGCCAACCAUGAAUGAAAUGAUGGAUUACAUUGAUGAGAAAAUGGGGAAAAAAUUCAAGUGAUCCCCACCUGGCCCUGGAGGUGUACUUUGGCCCUUGCAGCCCAUACCAGUUUCGACUGAUGGGACCAGGGAAGUGGGAUGGGGCCAGAAAUGCCAUCCUGACCCAAUGGAAAUGGACAGUGAAGCCAACCAGGACAAGAGUUGUCAGUGAAGCUCAGCGACCCCAUCCCUUUUACAAUUUGCUUAAAAUGCUUUCAUUCCCAUUACUCCUUCUGGCUGUUACACUUACAUUUUAUUAAUGAGAAAGUCUUUGAGGUCUCAAAGUUCAGCGUACAAGUGUAAUCACAUAAUACAACACACAAUCACAACAUAGUUCCUCUCUCCUUUCCUGAAGAUAUGAAAAUCAGUCUUGGCCCAUUUGAAUUAAAGUAUAAGUAAAAUGGAAAA